rnacentral:sRNA from 1 species
ACUCCCUCCCUCCCUUCCUUCCUUGGAUCAGAGCCUGUGGUAAUAUUGGGGACAUUGAAAUUAAUAUAUCUAGACUGAACAUGUAGCUCAGAGUGUCUGUGUAGCAUGUAUGAGGUCAAAGGUACAAGAUCCAAUGUCACAAUAAGGACAGUAAAAUGGGCAUAGCCUUGCCUACCGCACAGUGUUAUGAGAGAGGACCCAAAGCUUGCUGAGAGUGUGAUGGGGUAGCAGGAGCAUGGGGGUGGAGUCAGUGACCCUAGGGCAAGGCCUGGAUUCCUGGAUUCUGAUCCCUAGCUCUCAGAUGGUUCUAACUGGCCCCCUCCCCACCACGGAGGGAGGAACCGUAUUCUGGAGCUCACUAAAAGGCCAUCACCUGAACAGUACUUCAGAUGAGGGAUUCUGCAUUUGGAAUCCACCUAUUUUCCAGGCAAGCAAGGUUCCAGAGGGCAGGUGGAGGACCGUGGGGUUCACAGUGCUUGUGUGGUACGGAGUGACAGAGAGGAAACAGCUAGGAGGAGAUGCUCAGAGUUCAAGGGGUCUGUGGGAGGGAGGAAUAAAAAGCAGUUUCCAAGGGUCACAGAAGAGGUCACAGCUAAACUACUUCCAGGAGUUUGGUAGACAAUAGAACUCAGGGCAGGAAGCAGGAAGCAGCUAUGGGGAGAGAGAGGCCAGUGGAGGCAACCCUAAGAGGCAGUUCUCAGCUAAAGAAAAAGCCUGGCCCCUCAGGGCACAAUUAAUAUCCCUUUGUCCCCUACUGUGCAGACGGUUACGUGGUACUAGGGAUAAAGUUCUGUCUUGAGUUCCUCAGCUCUGCCACCAGUUUGGUACUCACAAGUGACUCCGACUCUGUGCCUCAGGUGACUUGUGUACCUGCCAGGGUCCGGAUCAGGUGUCUGGACCACGACUGAUGGAUCACAGUACCAAUCCUGAGGACUCGAACAUCAGGAAAGACGCUCGGUGGGAAUGAUGCUGUUGACAACUGGGAGCCUACGGGAUCCUGGACCCUUGAUCAAAAUAAAAAGAUCUCAGGAUCAUUUUAUGUGGAGGACCAAAUUCACUCCCAUUUUACAGAAAAGACGAGUAAGGUUGGGAGAAGCCAGGCAAUCUGUCCAAGGCCACACAGCAGACAAGUGGCUGAGCUGGGUUCUUAACCUGAGCAGUGUGGCCUCCAAAUUCUUGUGCUUUCUUUUCAGCAUGGAGACAGUCUCCCUAUAACACCUUCCAGGUUCUGUUUGUCUGAAGUCUGCGUUGGCAGACCCAGAGCAGGUGCUCUGACAGCAUGUACCCUGGUUCCACUGCAGUUUCCCCCUUCAUAAGACUGAGAGAACGCUCUGCUGUCAUUUCCGGACUUUUCCAAGUACCAACUCCUCACUGCCCCAGAGUGUUUGCACAAUUUGCAGAAGAGUUUUUGAAUGAUGUAGCUACAUGACACCCACUGCACCCAAGUCUACCAUCCUAGGAACAUCAUUUGGGUGUUCUUUGACGGCAACACAAGGAGCCUUUCUGGGACCCUAAUUCAAGAUGGAGGAAGCCAAGGGCUGAGAAUAGAGCCCUAUGAUACUGUACCAGAUACUUUUGUCUAAAGUACUACAAGACAAUAUUCUGCAGAUUUCCGGUACUUUGAAGGCUAAUUGGAUAAUAAAUUGUGGGUAAAUAUAUGGUCUCAGAGCUCAUAACACACAGCCACUUCCAGAAAAAGGUGUGGGGAAAGUGUGUCAGGAAAUCUUUGGAACUUGUGGGUUUUCUUCUUCUCUGGUGUGGUGGGUGUGUGUGGGGCUCUCCUGGGGAAGCUCACAGCUCUGUGCAGGCUAAGUCCAUGCAGCUGUGAAAUAGAGACCCAUGCUCAGAAGUGUGUUUGGGGGAGAGGUGUUAAGAAUGGAACAGGUUGGGCAGUAUCUCAAGUCAUCCUGAAGGCAGAUCUCUAUAGCAAGGAAAAAAAAAAAAACCUUGAAAAUAAGCACUUCCACAUCUCUGCCCCUGACUGUGUGCAAUGUGGCCAGCUGCCUUGUCUCCUGUCUCCCAUGCCUUCACUUCUGUAAUGGACCCCCCCCCCCCACCAGACUGACAGAGAUGAAUACAGAGACAUCCUGUCGCAGCCAUGAGGAACGUAACUAAACCCCGACUGGAUCGAGAGGCCUGGACUGGGAAUGGCCUGCUCUGCUCCCUAUUAUGGCUGCCUCUCCCACUCUCUACCCAGAACAUGUAGGGGCUUCUGGGAAUCAAGAAAAUCCCUCUCCACCCCCAUGUCCCUGUGGCUCUGAGGAAUGUUCUGGUCUGUGUGGGCUCAGUCCUUCUCAAUGGUCUUGAGGGAGUUGGGGAGGCCUGCGAUUAGAGGCACCAAGUUUUGCCACCCCCACCUGAAGCCUGUCAGGAAUUCGGGAGGGGCGGGGUGGGUGGCAAAAGAGCCCAGUGGAGCCUCUGCUGAGGCAACAUGUUGAAUUACUUUGCAAACAUCUGGGGUCCACCCACACCGGGUACACAUCUUGUCCCCAGCACCAUUUCCCUGCGUGCGGGGGCCCACAUGUCCCUUGGCCAGCCUGAGUGGGCUGCACGUGCAGCCAGCUCACGCUUACGCUGUUCGCUAAUAUUCCUUUGAUGUCACUGAGCCCCCUAAGCCUGCUGCUGCCGUCCCUUUGAAGCAGGACAUCGUGUUUUGCCAAAAGUCAAUGAAACGCCUUAGUAGAACAGAACGGUUUAAUUCCUGCCUCCAAUACAGGGCCGAGAAGGUUCAAGCAGGCUCCUGCCCACGCCUGAAAAAUAUCCCAAAUGGCCUGCAAGAGGCCACCUCAGAGGCCUUCUGGUCUGGCUGCUGGCCUUGGAGCUGGCCUUUGUACAGAAGCUCUGUUCUCCAUUGGAUGACACACUCCACUGCCUGCCCUUCCUCUUACCCUUGGCCCCUUUCUGUACUCGGGAGCUGUCUCUCACCUUGACCUGAUGUUUCCUUCACAUAGAGCUGGCAUUGCCCUUUGUUGUAUCCACAGCUUCCUCUCACCUCCCACCGUCCUGUGCAGGGAUUGGCUAGCCCACCGAGGGUUUGAGAGCAUUGGCUCAGCCUUGACAGCUUGCAGCAGCCUUUCUCUCACGCAUUCAGGGAACACUCACAAGGGACUCUGGAGCCCUCUGGUCCCAUUGGUGCCUACAGGGUCAUCUUUUUAAGGUGCCAACUCUCAUGCUAGCCAGAGCCCCUGUAGCUGGCCACUCUACUACAGCUAUGGCUUCAGAGCCUUGGGAGGCCUCCUGCCCCUGGCUGAUAUGUGGGAGUGGACUUGUAAUACAGCAGCGUCUUAUUCAACAGGGAUGAGAAACAAGUCACCACUGGGGUCCUCUUGAUACUGGGGUCCAUUGUACUGGGCUAGUCCAGUUCUACUAAGCACAACCUCUUCGGAGUGAGAGAGGUCUAAAGAGAAAUGCUGCAAACUAUUCUUGGACUCCAGCCCUCGUCCACAGUUUGGGCCAGAGCUUUCAUACCCCAAAGCCCCGCAGUGUCCCUUUCCCGUUCCUUGUCUUCCUUUCCCUGACUUCGAGGCACCUGGCCUAGGGAGGAGAAUUCUACAGCGCAACUCUUUGUGCUUGGUGAAUUACUCAUUCAUUAUUUCCUUCACCCUAUGGAACUUUGUUGAGCUCCCACUGAAUGCUGGACAGAGGAACGAACAAGCCUCAUAUCAUCAGUACCAUGAAAGCCCCCCCAACCACACCACAGCCCUUUCUGAAAACUGGAUCUACCAGUCAAAAUUUCAGCUCCAACCUUUGCAUGGCUGUCCUUCCUCUGGGACUGCUUUCUUUCCAAAGCCUUGCAUGGUUGCCUUUUUCUCUCCAGUGCCUGGCUAGGGUUGGACUUGCCUGGGGGCAGAAAGAGCUAAAGUCAAUAGUCUCCAGGUUCCACUUUGGGAGAUCCCAGGGCUUGGCUCACAGUUUGUGCUCAGACAUUUAAAAUCAAGUUUAUUUACUUCUGAGUUGCAAUGAUUUAAUCAAUACCUGACUAGGACUUUAAGAGACGAAUGAACCAAAUGCACACAUGUGCCCAGACAGCUGGUCAGUGUGCACCCACUGCUCACACUCUAGUUUUCAGUGUCCUGGGACACCCCCAUGUCCACACACCUUGAACACAGACACCAAGAACAGUGAUCCAAGGAGGUGCCUGGUCUCAGAUCCUAGCUCUACCACUCUAGGCUUCGAUCUCGGGAAAUUUGCUUAACCUGCCCGAGUCCCAUUUGCAAACAGGAUAUAAAAAUAGCAUGUACAAUCCUAGUUGCAAAAGGGAAGGGUGUAGGAUGCUACAUGGCACCCGACACAGGGAAGGCCAUUGCGCACCCUUUCCACAUGCGGGCUCACACAGCACCACGCAAAGCAAGGCAAUAGAUCAUGCCACUGAGAACUGGCAAGGCAGGGGACAGGGAGGGUCACCGUCAGACUGAUGUGAAAGGAAUUGGAGUUUGUGCUGUGUGAUGACUUAGUUUUUGGUGACAGGGUUCAGCGUGUGGUCUGCUGGGGCUGGCAGGGCACAGAAGAGGUUUCAUCUGCCUGAAGAUGUGGCUGGGGGCCAACGGCAGCCUCUCAUCCUCCUGUCAGGCUGCUGCAGAAUAGAAACUGGCUGGCUUUUUGUCUAUGCCGAGUGGCCUUUUCUAUGAAGAGAUAACGAAGGACAAUUAAUCUAGCAAUUGGGAGCAACCUUUGAUGCUCCAGUAAUUUCUCUGCCUUAUAAUUAUGGGACAAUCAGGGUUUUGCAAGCUCCCAAUUAAAUCACAGUCAGACCCAGUGACUGUCAGAAAGUGGACACUGUAGCCAGAGGCCAAGGGGGACCCAAGGAAGGUGAUAAUCUGUGACCCCAAGGAAACCCAGUGUGGGUAGGGCAGGAAGAAGAUCCUCAGCUGGAGAAAGAGCCUCCCUUGAGUGGCAGCUCUGAGGCUUGCAGAAAGCACUGUGGGUGGAAGAGCGUUUGGCCCAAGGUCUGGCCUGGUGCUGGCAUGCUCCUUGAAGGAACAGGCUCUUGGCACGGCUAUUUGCCCGGCUUGGCACAUCCUAGGCCAGCAGCCUGCCCCAAGCUCCAUCUGGGAGUGCCUGUCAUUUGGGCUGAUUCCUUGUCUGCUCUGUCUCUGUGUCACCAAGAGCCAUAGGCCAGGUCUAGCUCUUCUGAUCUCUGCUGUGGUGAGAGAUCAGCCUCCUUCAAUACCACCAACACACUGGCUCCUGCUUAACACCAAAGAGAGAGAGAGAGAGAAGUGAGAACACUCUUGGCAAGGCAUCCCUAGUUUGGACUCCUAUCAGCAAGGACUUUGUGAGCCUGUGCAGGGUACAUGCUGCAUAUAUAUGUAUGUAUCAGGGAGGCUGUGCUGAAUCUUUCAACAUUCUGCCUCUGCCCUGAGAUCACUAUUCAUUUGAGGAACUCAUUUGAGGAACUCCCUUGGUGUCUCCUCAUCCUCAAUAUUGCCUCCAUUUGUGGGCUUCUGCAGCUUCCAAAACAACUUUUGACAGACCCACAGCUGUUCUGACCAGGCAUGGCUGUGCUCUUGAAGGAGGAGGGGACAGUGGAAUGGGAAGUCACAUCUCCUUGCCACAGUCUCCUUCAUUCAGUCUCAUGGACAGAGACCAAACUCACAUCUGCUCACUACACAGCUGUGGCCUGUACCCCAGCCACUCUGUCCCCAGCUCUGGUGGAAAUGAAUGGUUGAGAGCUAGAGUCUCAAGGUGCAGAUAUCUUACUCUAGGGUAAGCUGGGUGACUGCCCCAUCCAGCUGCUUCUGCUUUUUGACACCACAGCCUCUAGGUACUGGACAGUUUUGUGAUAACCAUUGGGCAGUCUGGAGUACCUGGCUGUGCCUGGUGCCUGGCCUUUCUUUUCAGGCUCUUGGCAGCCCCCAUUGACCAAUCCCAUUUUUAUGUCUGAAAACCAGGAAGGUUCACUCCUCUGGAGAGCUAUGUACCUGCAUCCUACUGAUUUUGGGAUCCUCCCACAUAAACUCUGCAGACAGGUCAGAAACAACAAGAAAAGUCCAUCUGACUAGCUCAGAUUCUGAUGAUGCCCCGACAUGUGGACCUGGUUUGUGCCAUGCAUGGCCUUGCAGGGUAGGUGACUAUGUCAGUUCAGCAGUGUGAGUACACGGGAGGCCAUCUCUCAUCUCUCCUUUAUGUACGGAGAAGCUGAGGCCCAGGAAAACAGAUCCACAAGCACAAGGUCACUUUUGCAAACAGAGUUUUGGAUGUUUGGGUAAGAAUGGCAGGAGACAAAGUAGCCCGGAGUAGAUGAACCAGUGGAUGUGGACUGACUGUGAUCAGCCACCCCCACAGUGACAUGAAGAGGGGGCAGUACUGGGUGAUUUCUUACCUGUAGUUUUGAGUUUGUUUCUGUAGCUUCCUGUGGGAGUUAGUGGUGAGCGACAACUAUCCCCAUGAGACUGAUGGUGCGGACCCAUCUCGGGGUAGUGUCGUGUGCAGGUCCAUGGACAACAUAUGAAGGGCACCUUGUUACAGUAUCCAACUAGUUUCUCAGCUGGUCCAUCACCUACCAAGUGCACACAGCAGCCAAGGAGCAAUUCUGUAUCCUACUGAGGGUGUCUCCCAGGGGGGAGGUUAUUGAUUUUUAAAAGCGGACACAUAAACUUCAAGUUGUAGCUUAGUAGGAAAAGAUAGCCAUUCCAGUCAUCCACAGACAGUCUAGACAAUAAUAAACUCACCUCUACAAGGCUAGCACAUAGCCUGCUCUGCAGCAGGAUGACUCUUAUCAUCGGAAUCUGAGCUAGUCAGAUGGACACAAAGAUGGCUGCUGUGUGUCACCUCACCAGCACCAGGGCCCUCUGGUGCCUGUGGGUCACAGGAGUGAGGUGGAGGCUCAGAAAAGGGACCUGUGUGAGAGAGCAGGAGUGAGCCCCAGACACAGACUGGUUCUGACAUGUGCAGCUCCUUAGCUGGGUCAUUCCUUAAGCUCUCAGAAUCCAGGAUAGCCAUCUAUAAAGUGAGGGAGCAACGGUACCAGUUGGAAACGUCCUGUCAUUGACCAAGAGCAACUGUGGGGAGGAGUGCAGGUUAGAGGCUCAGGAAGUGGCCUGAAAAUGGGUACCCCUGAGCAACCAGGAUGGACAGGUUUCCUGGAAACACUGUGUGCACUAAAAGCAGACUUUCUCACUCUGUCCUGUCUGCAUCACUCCACUCAUAUGUUGGCAUGGCAAGGUAUGCCCAUAGAUACAUAGUGGCAUGUUUGCUAUGGCCAUAACCAACCAUUUUCUGAUUGGAUUUAAGACCCAUUCUACAGGGAGACAUGCAUGCCUGAUUCUGUAAUUCUGUCCAAGAACCCAUGGUUGGGGAGCUCACAUGUAGUUCUAUUUUUGCUAAAUGAACAACAUACUAAUAAACUGCCCUCUAAAAAUACCUCAUCUCUAUGCCCAUAGAUGAGGUCAGCACUCAACUUUAAUCAGAGAAGUUUCUUUGUACAGUGAAUGGAGGUUAGAACAGAAUCUCAGUAACAGAUCAAAGUGCAGAGAAUAAGUCUAUGGAGUACUCAAUUACAAAUGCCACACGUAAUUCAUGGUCAGAGGCCAUCUUGGAAGAAGAUGUGGAAAGAUUCUAAAGGGUUGGAGAGAAACAGAAGUGUCAUAGACCUGUGUGUGUGUGUGUGUGUGUGUGUGUGUGUGUGUGUGUGUGUCUAAAUUUGAUCAAAAUACAAUGCAUGGAAUUCUAAGAAGUUGAUAAAAUACCAUAUUAAAAUGAUCUAGAUAUGAA